rnacentral:rRNA from 1 species
GUGGGGAAUCUUGCGCAAUGGGCGAAAGCCUGACGCAGCCAUGCCGCGUGAAUGAUGAAGGUCUUAGGAUUGUAAAAUUCUUUCACCGGGGACGAUAAUGACGGUACCCGGAGAAGAAGCCCCGGCUAACUUCGUGCCAGCAGCCGCGGUAAUACGAAGGGGGCUAGCGUUGCUCGGACUUACUGGGCGUAAAGGGCGCGUAGGCGGACAGUUUAGUCAGAGGUGAAAGCCCAGGGCUCAACCUUGGAAUUGCCUUUGAUACUGGCUGUCUUGAGUACGGGAGGGGUGAGUGGAACUCCGAGUGUAGAGGUGAAAUUCGUAGAUAGUCGGAAGAACACCAGUGGCGAAGGCGACUCACUGGCUCGUUACUGACGCUGAGGCGCGAAAGCGUGGGGAGCAAACAGGAUUAGAUACCCCAGUAGUCC